rnacentral:rRNA from 1 species
AACGAACGCUGGCGGCAGGCCUAACACAUGCAAGUCGAACGAAGUCUUCGGACUUAGUGGCGCACGGGUGAGUAACACGUGGGAAUAUACCUUACGCUGGGGGAUAACAUCGGGAAACUGAUGCUAAUACCGCAUACGCCCUUCGGGGGAAAGAUUUAUCGGCGAAAGAUUAGCCCGCGUCCGAUUAGCUAGUUGGUGAGGUAAUGGCUCACCAAGGCUCCGAUCGGUAGCUGGUCUGAGAGGAUGACCAGCCACACUGGGACUGAGUCACGGCCCAGACUCCUACGGGAGGCAGCAGUGGGGAAUAUUGGACAAUGGGCGCAAGCCUGAUCCAGCCAUGCCGCGUGAGUGAUGAAGGCCUUAGGGUUGUAAAGCUCUUUCACCCACGACGAUGAUGACGGUAGUGGGAGAAGAAGUCCCGGCUAACUUCGUG